rnacentral:rRNA from 1 species
GACGAACGCUGGCGGCGUGCCUAAUACAUGCAAGUUGAGCGAUGAAGAUUGGUGCUUGCACCAAUUUGAAGAGCAGCGAACGGGUGAGUAACGCGUGGGGAAUCUGCCUCUGAGCGGGGGACAACAUUUGGAAACGAAUGCUAAUACCGCAUAACAACUUUAAACAUAAGUUUUAAGUUUGAAAGAUGCAAUUGCAUCACUCAAAGAUGACCCCGCGUUGUAUUAGCUAGUUGGUGAGGUAAAGGCUCACCAAGGCGAUGAUACAUAGCCGACCUGAGAGGGUGAUCGGCCACAUUGGGACUGAGACACGGCCCAAACUCCUACGGGAGGCAGCAGUAGGGAAUCUUCGGCAAUGGACGAAAGUCUGACCGAGCAACGCCGCGUGAGUGAAGAAGGGUUUCGGAUCGUAAAACUCUGUUGGUAGAGAAGAACGUUGGUGAGAGUGGAAAGCUCAUCAAGUGACGGUAACUACCCAGAAAGGGACGGCUAACUACGUG